GACGAACGCUGGCGGCGUGCCUAAUACAUGCAAGUAGAACGCUGAAGGAGGAGCUUGCUUCUCUGGAUGAGUUGUGAACGGGUGAGUAACGCGUAGGUAACCUGCCUGGUAGCGGGGGAUAACUAUUGGAAACGAUAGCUAAUACCGCAUAAUAUUGACUAUUGCAUGAUAGUCAGUUGAAAGGUGCAACUGCACCACUACCAGAUGGACCUGCGUUGUAUUAGCUAGUUGGUGGGGUAACGGCUCACCAAGGCGACGAUACAUAGCCGACCUGAGAGGGUGAUCGGCCACACUGGGACUGAGACACGGCCCAGACUCCUACGGGAGGCAGCAGUAGGGAAUCUUCGGCAAUGGACGGAAGUCUGACCGAGCAACGCCGCGUGAGUGAAGAAGGUUUUCGGAUCGUAAAGCUCUGUUGUAAGAGAAGAACGAGUGUGAGAGUGGAAAGCUCACACUGUGACGGUAUCUUACCAGAAAGGGACGGCUAACUACGUG
rnacentral:rRNA from 1 species